UAGAGAUGGGGUUUCACCAUGUUGGCCAGGAUGGUCUCGAUCUCUUGACCUCGUGAUACACCCACCUUGGCCUCCCAAAGUGAUGGGAUUACACGCAUGAACCACCAUGUCCGACCACCAUCCCCCCUCAUUUACAGGUCUUUCCUGUUGUCUCAUUGGAGUUCUAGAGAUCUUUAUUAUAAUGCAUUGUUCUGCUGUCAUCUUUUUUUUGGUCUCUUUAGUAAGAGAGAAUAGAGAGUGAGUGGGUGUCUACCUAGUAGUCUAUCCUGCAAAUGGAGUAUUACAAAUCAUUAAGUAGAGUGGACAUGUUAAUGGGAAAAGACCAAUGUGCAUAAUGCAUUGCCAACAAAGUUACUGUAACAUACAAGAACAGCUGUCUCUACUACUGAAGUUAAUUAUAUUCACUAGCAAUGGUGAGAAUUAUGUCCAUGCUAUCUCAAAUCAUGAAUUAUUUGCUUUGAAUUUGUUUUACUGCUUUGAAUAGUAGUUUGCAACUACUAUUAAAAAAAUCAAUACAGUGUGAGUAUCUAAAUAAUAGAAAUAUCCGUUGUAAAGAAUAAGAUACUGGGAGUCAGGAAUGUUUCCAACAUGCCUUGUUAUCUUGACCCUCGAGGGAUUGCAAUCUCUCACCGGCUUCAGUGGUGUGCAUCUUUCAUUGGGAUAAAAUCACAGGUUUAUAAGGCUCAUUAGGAAAGGAAGGAUCCAAAGUGUGUAGAACAAGCUUGCCCGUACGCAGUCCAGGACAGCUUUGAAACCGGCCCAACACAAAUUUGUAAACUUUCUUAAAACAUUAUGUGAUUUUUUUUAAAGCUCAUCAGCUAUUGUUAGUGUUAGUGUGUUUUAUGUGUAGCCCAAGACAAUUCUUCUUCCAUUGUGGCCCAGGGAAGCCAAACGAUUGGACACCUCUGAUGUAGAACAUUAGUCUGAGAAAUCACUUGUCAGAAGCAUGGGAUUUUAACCCAAGAAAAAUUACCUCUUAGUGGCCUGAGGUGGCUUAGUGAGCUAUUCCCACUUUGCUGUCAUGGGAACUAUGAAUCACAGUCUCAGAGUCUACAUAAAAACCUCACAAAUCUGUGGAAAUCUGCUUAAUAAAGACAUAAUAAGCUGGACCUGUUUACUUUUAAGAAUUCACCAAUAUAAUGACUUGCCACAUAUGCAGAUGUUACCCUCAGAUGAUAAUGGAGGACUGUUUUGCCAAAACUGAUAAGAACAUUGUGCACAUAUGUUUGGGCCUAAAAAGAUCACUUGUUAUUAAUAUUAACAAAGAUAGCCAAAGUCUUUAGUGUUUUGUUUGUAAAAUCUCUUGCUUCAUUGAGAGCUAUGAGAUGUCAUUAUUUUUCUUAUUCACUCAACUCAUGCAGUUAAACAAACAGACUUACGUAGCACAAACAUGAAACAUUACUUUUUAGGCUAUCCCAAAUUGUUUAACAUAUACAAUAUGCCAGGCCUGUGGUAGGUACUAGAGAGUCAAAAAGACUCAAUCCCUGCCUUUAGAGGCUCACAUCUUCUGGGGAGAAAGGCGAUUUCACUGCCACAGAUUUCAAUGGUAACACAAGAGAAGAAUGACUCAUUUCAACUUUUGUAAUCGGGGAAGGCUUCCGGGAAACCAGUGGAGAAAAACAGGGAAAAAAAAUAUCAGGAAAAGAGUAAGCAAUCACACAGAUCAUGGAAUAUAGAAGGUGGGUGGACUCUGCCAGUCCUGACCUCAGGAGGUUUCUAUCUAGUGGAGGAGGCAGAAACAUAAAGGGAGACUGGACUGCAGUAUAGUGGUGAGCCCAUCGGUAGGGUUCAGCAUAGGGAGUUAUGCGUGCACACUGCUAGCACAUCUAAGAGAGAGCCCACCCAAGGCCUCUGAGUGUAAGCAACAGCAAUGCUGCCUUGAAUACUGAGCAGGAGUUCACCAGUGGGAAAGAAAGGACAUUUCAGGCACACAUGGACAAAACAUGAACAGAUAUACAGGCCACCUGCUGGAAAGGUAGUUGAGGGUGGGGUGAGACUGGAACAAUAUUUACUUGGCAUGGCUGCAGCUCUAGAUGCAAGAUACGGGGCUAAAGGGAGUGACAAAGGAAGACUCUGGUGGGCUUUGUAAGUGAAACUGUGAGAAGUAGGGCAGUGGCAGCAUUAAUUGAGGGAAGGAUGGACCUAGAAAUCCUGAAGAGGUCAAAUCAGCUGUGCCCUCUGACUGAAUGUGAAGGAUGAAGGAAUGGAAGGAUCCAAGGUUUUAAGAUGAGGCAGAAAGGCAACUGUGUUAAGGUAAAUGCCACGACAGAUGGAAUCACAGGGAACCCACCACAAGCUGGUGAGGUGAGAGCCUCAGCAGGGUUCUGGAAAGGUGUGCUGGGCAGGAUGAGCCCGGAAGGAGGGGAGUCAGUCAGGUGAGGGAAUGGGGGGUUGGAAGAGGCCACUGAAGCAAAUGAAUGGCAUGAGCAGAGGCAGGAGGCUGAAGAGCACACGCUGGAGGACUGCCAGUCAUUCAGAAUUACUGUCCCUUACCUUCUGGAAACAUUUCUCUGUGUGAGGGGCGUGGUGGUUAAGAGUGCAUCUAGGAUCAGAUGAUUCAGGUUCACAAUCAGUUGGCCACUUAUAAGCUGUGUGGCCUCAGGCAAAUUAGUUGAGUCCCCAGUGCUUAAGGCUUGUAACACUUGCCACCCAGAAAUGAAAAUAACAUCUACCUCUAGGAUUGUUGUGAGCUCUUGGAAGAGAGCUUUGCACACAGGUUAGCUAGUAUUAACAGCAAUAGUACUAGUGAUCAUGGUAGUAGAAUUUACUUGGGCUUUCUUACUAACAGGAACUUACCACCAGGUCUACCUUCCAAGUCCACUGCCCCUUCCCUACCUCCCUUUUCUCACCCUGAAACCGCCUUUGCAAAAAUUAUAUCAGUUUGAAUGUUGUGGCAGUGGGGGAGAUCUGAUCUAGCCAACCCAACUCCCCAUUCCUUGCCUUUAGUUUUCAAGCUACCUUAAUUAUUCCUGGGCUUAGGUCUAGCUAACAUUGGAAGAUAUUUAAGUUAUAGUUUAAAUGAGACUAAUGAGACCAUCAGGCUAGGGGAAGGAAAGGAACCUGAAUUCUGUUAAUAGGCUGGUCACAAGAUAUGCAACUUCCCCAAUUACUCCUGCAAAUAACAUCACCAGUGUAGAUUGGCCUUUUGAGAUAUGUUUUCAGGCUUUUUGCAUGUCUGACACUAACGGCUCCACCUGGUCCUGCGAAAUUGCUCCUGUGGCCCCACAGAGGAGUGACUCAGCUCAAGAGUUCAGCUUUGACUCCCUGUGAUUUCAUCUCCACCCCCAAAAAUCAGCAGCAAGCACCCAUUUCCUAGCCACUUCCACCCCUUCCCCUAAACUGCCUUUGAAAAAUCCCUAACCUAUGAGUCUUCUAUGGGAUUGAUGUGAGUAAUAACUUUGUCUACCGUGUGGCAUGGGCAGCCACACAUCAAUUAAACUCUUUCUUUACUUCAGUGCCAUGGUCUUUAUUUGUGCAGUGGGCAGGAAGAACCUGCUGGGUGGUUACAACUUCAUCCUCUCCACAAUCAUAGAAUAACCAAAAGAUCAUGCUUUAUAACAUGACAUUUUAAUUCUGAAAAUGUGUUGGACACCUCAGGCUGCAUCACAAAUAUCUCAACUUCCUGUUCUGUUACCCAAUUCACUUCUUUUUACUUUUCUCAAAUUUUACUAUCUCCUUUCUCCAGAACUACUCCUAAAAUAUUCAUCUGUAAACAAACUUAAACCAACAGAGAUAAGGAAAAGGCAUAAAAAAUAUUUAUUUUUAUCCAAGAAGAACUGGCUCGGGUACUGGUGUUUCAGAGGGAAUUACCAUGGAUAAGUAGCUUGUUAGAAUGCUCAUUCUUUUGCCUAAAUCUCUAACUCUGCUACUCCAACUGCUUAAUUUAUUCUUAGGGGGAAGAGAUGCCAUACCCUAGUUCUUCAUUUGGAUUAAUCAUUUUCUAGCUUGACUGCCUCAGUUGCACAGACUGUCAGCUCUCUCACUUUUUCUUUUGCAGAACAGAUCCUUUUCUUUAACUUUCAGACAUUUUUCUUUUUGCAGAGGUUGCUCAAUUACACGUGAAUGUAUAUACAUGUAAACAAAGAUGACAUAAGUAUUUGUUAAUACAAAUUUAAAAAAAUAAUGCUUGAAUAGUUGUCAUAUUCUCUGUUUUAACAAUGGUAGUGAAAGGAGGCAGAAGUUAGGAGAAACACCAAUUUGCAAAAUAUGAGAAUGUUUCAACUACACUAAGGUUUCUGCUGAUGGCCUUAUUAAAGUUGUACAGUUGGAAUCGGGUGGGGUGUUCAUAACAACUAUGGCAUAACGAUGGUCCCCAAAAUCUUGUGCUCAACUUUUUGAUGGCUCGUCCUCUGUCUGGGACCUGCUUGGGAACAGGUUUGGUAUUUCUCUUUCAGCCAAGUCUGCCUUUCGCUGGUGCUUUCCUACACUGUGUCUUUAUCACAGUGGGUAUUUCUUUUCAUCAGAGUCUACCUCAUCAUCUUCAGAAAGCUUACUUUAAAAAAUUUUAUAGUUCGCCCUUUUUCUUCAUAUUUUUUAGAAUGUGACUUCAAUUUCAUUUUUAAAAUUUCCUAUGUAGAUAUGCUUUUAUACAUUAAUUUUCUCUUUUUCCUUUGAGAAAACAAGACUCUGAAAAAAGAAAAGUUAUCAAGUGCUGACAGGGAAAAUACUAUUUUUCUCCCAUUAAAAUAAAGAUACCAAGACGCUUAAGACCAAAAAAAAAAAAAAAGAAACCACUAUUAAUCUUACAAGGAUUUAGAAGGUAAUACUCCAUAAAUACUUAGAAAGCAAAUUAUUUUUGAAUUCUACUUUUCCAGAUGGACCCAGUGGGAUGUGCCUGUAUUCCCAGGUACUUGGGAGGAUGUGGCCGGAGGAUCACUUGAGCCCAGGAGUUUGAGGAUAUAGUGAGCUAUGAUCACGCCUGUGAAUGGCCACUGCACUUCAGUCUGAGUAACAUAAGGAGGCCCUGUCUGUAAAAAACAAAACAACUACUCUGGCCUUAGAAUCUUGAGGAAUUCAGUAGUGAACUCAAUGGAAAACGGAAAUGAAUUCAACAACUAUUUAUCGAGGCUUCUUAUGGAUAAGACAUUGUGCUAAAUUCUGUGGGGGCUGUACAAAUAUAUAUACAAGAUAUACAAACUGCCCUCCAAAACUAAAUAUUUUAGAGAUGAUAUACCAUGAAAAAUAACUCUUGUACUAGACAUGUAGAGAAAAAUGCCAUGAGAAAGCAAGAAAGCAAAUGGCUAAUUAACACUAGGAUGAACUUAAAAGGUAUUUUGGAGGUAUUUGGCAGAGAUUUUAAAAUAUGCAUAUAAUUUUAUUCAAUAGCUUAAGGCUAUUGACAUUUUGGGGUUGUAUGUUACAACCUGUGGUUAAUACUGUGAAACACCAAAUUGAACUGCGUGCCAUUUCCCAGCACAGGAUAAAGAUUUGAGUUGGGUUUUAAAAGCUGAGCCUUAGGGCAAAGGGAAGAGGCUAAGGAAAGUUUCAAAGGCAGGGAAGCACAGACUUAAACUGUGGUCCAUGUGGUACAUUGUUACCUGGAACUUAAGAGUGUAUGCAGGAAGACUUGGGGUGGGGAGAAAAUGGGGUGGAGGUUGGGAUGCUCAUUGGGAAAUUCGGUUCUAGACACAGGCUUAUUAGGAAUAGACUUCAAUGCCAGGUUAAGAAAAUGGAUUUAAUUCCAGAAAAAAUUUCAAAAUUCUAACCCUGAAAUGGGUAAAACAUGAAUGACUCCAUUAAAUAAAAUGUGGAAUGAAAGAGAAGAGAGAAAUGUUGGGAGUGUUUAGAAGCCUUUUUGAAUAUUAGGAAAAUCAUAAUAAAUCUUAAGAAAGACGGAUAGGCUGAUGCCAUGAUAAUUUUGAUUUUUACUGACCACUGCAAAUAUAGAAGAAAAUUUGCAAACUUAUAUCAGAUAAUGACCAAAAAAACUAUUUUCUUGCGAGUGCUCAUGAUUUUUGAUUGAUCAUUUGAACAUAUGGAAUAAUGUACUAUCUAAUUUCAGUGCCUUAACGACCCUUACAAAUCACAGAAUCUUGCUCCUGGCAUUGGAUAGUUUUUCCCAGAGCAGAUGCCCCUGAGCCUUGACGGUUUUCUCACUGUGACUUCUUAACUGCAUACAUUUUUAAGGUGGCGGAUUUGAGAAAAGAUGUGUGAUCCCCAAGACAGGCUUUUUGUUUUUUUUUUUAAUUUGCAAAGCCAACUGGCUCUUGGUUGGCUUUUUAGAUCAAGAUGAAGGAAUAAUUAAUAUGACACAAGUAGAUUUGAUGGUUGUUCUAUGCUGUCUUGGUCUCUCAUUUAUAACAAAUUAUAAAAGGGUAUAUAUAUUAAACCAAUAUUCGACUUUUUCCUUUUCACAAAUGAUUUUCUGGGUCAAUAGAGUUUGCAUAAAUGCAUCUCACUGCCACCUUCAGGAGUGAAAUUCAGGUUUAAUAUAUUCUACAUGAGGGCAGCGGGCAGCUGAUGAGCAAGUUGUUCUUAUUCCGUGUACCUUGAUAGGAUUCAACUUUGGCCUGGAGGAGGGGAAUUUGUUUUUCCAUGCAGGGCACUCCCAUGAGAGUUUCAGAAAAACAAUAUGCUCUUGUCAGAACAGAAUGCAGUUCUUCUAAAACUGGGAAUGAACUAUAUUUUACCCUUUAAAGGUCAGGAGAUGUUAUUAUGCAGCAAAUUUAGCCUAUGAUUUAUCUUAAAAUAAAAAGGCAUCAUCACAUAUAACCCUCACAAGAUCUGGGUAACGUUAAAAAUGAGAAUAAAUUUCAAUAACAAUACUAAUAGUAGCUCCUACGUUUUGGGCUCCUGUGUAUAAGAGAUGGCACUCAGCACUGUCUCUUACCUACUCUCCACAACAAGCCCACAGGCAGGUAUUAUUUUUUCGGUUUUAAGAUCCAGGAAUGGAAUUUUAUUCUUCCUCCAUCUUGAACUCAUGGCAUCGUUUUCACGACGGUUAUCUCUCUGACGUUUUCUGUGUCGACUUUUCUUUCCACUUUCAGAUCAUCCUUUUGUAGCCUUAGAUCAAACUAAUCCCUUCUUUGACCCGAAAUGUCGGUUUUGCUGAAAAUUCUCUUUCAGCCCUCUUCUUUCCUGUCCUUGAUCAUAACGUCUAAUCUUAGGCUAUCUAAUGGUACUGACCUUAAUUGCUCUCAGUCCAGGCAUCUCCCUUUCCUCAUGUCCCUGGUCCUCCUCUAUUAUAUAGUAAGUGCAGGUCAGAUAUCUGACCUGCAUAUUCUGCCAGGGUCCCAAGCAACAGCCAACACUAGACUCAAUAUCAUUCUGUCAAAACAAACUUUCCCUCUUGACAACACUAAUUCUGUUAAUGGCAGCAAUGUUCUCCCAGUCAGACCCUGGAGUCAUUUUGACAGUUUUUGUUCUUUACCUCCUAGAGCCACAGAGUCAUCAACUCCUGUGGCAUCACUGCCAGAAAUAUUUGCAACUACCUUUCCAACAUUCAAGACUCAAAUGUCAGUAACUGUUGCAUUUAAUUUAUAUAGCUCUUUACAAUAAAACAAGCUCCCACAGAUGCUAUUUCUUAUAAUGUCCACAUUAACCUCACAGAUACAAAAACUGAGGUUUCAGAAACGUAUGAGUUUUGCUACACAGUGUAGAAGCGAAGUGAGGACUUGAUCCAGGUCUUCUGAUUCCUGUUUUCCAGGUGCAAUACUUCAACAACUGCCCGUACCUUCAUGCCUGAGGUGCAGCUGCCUCAGACACCAUCUUUCCACUUGCUCCAAUGCAGCUUAUGUAAUCACUAAUAGUCACUGUCUAAUAAUCACUGUCAAAUGACAUCUUUUUUAAAACACAGAUCUGAUCACAUCAUUCUCAGCUCAAAACUCUGUCAGUAGCUUCUUAGACUGAAAAAUGUUCAGAUCACCUAAUCUGGCACUCUCCAGUUUGUUUCCAACACCAUUUUGGAACAUUGCUUCCCAUAUCCUCCCAUACUCCAGCCAAGCCGAACUAUUCUCAGGAGUUGUUUUGUUUUGUUUUGUUUUUGAGACCUGGAACACAGGCGCACAUCACCAUGCCUGGCUAAUUUUUGUAUUUUUUUGUAGAGAUGGAGUUUUGCCACAUUGUCAUGCUGGUCUCAAACUCCUGAGGCUCUACCUAUUCUCUUGUGUAGGCCUCCCAAAGUGCUGGGAUUACAGGCAUGAGCCACUGCACCUGGCUCUACUCUUAGUUUUUCAAAUAUGCUUGAAUCAUUUGCUUGCAUUCCUCCACUCAUGUCUUCUCUGCCUUUGAAAAUGCUGACUGUCCUUUAUUUUAUUCAUUAAUUAACACCAAAGCAUUGAUGGAGCAAUAGUGUAUGUCAGGGACCGGGCUAGGUAUGGAGAAAAGCCAGUGAAUAGGGCAGGUAGGAUCCAUUUCUCAAAGGGCUUAGGAUCCACUGGAAGCAUUAAGUUUCAGGACAAAUGCCAAAUGCCACACUCUCCACAAAAUAAUCCUGUUCCGAUACCCCCAGCAGGAAGUGAGAACUUCCUCUUCUCAAUAGCCAUAGUACAGUGAGGAAACCUCAUAGGAUUUAUCAUAAUCUGAUUGAAUUAUAGUUAUGGAGAUAUAUGUCUUAUCUCUCAUGCUACAUUAUGAGCUCCAUUUUUGAUAGGGACUCUAGGAAGCUCCCUAUGUAGCCCUCACAGCAUGUAAUGCAGCACUUCUCAUUCAAUAAGACCUCAAUAAACAAUAUUGGAAUAAAUAAUUUCUCUCAGCAUCUGUGAAUAUGAGGUUGGAGAGAGACUGCCGCAUGCCCCAUUCAUACACAAACAGCAGAGGACACGGUGAGCACACACUACUCCCACACACGCUCACCAGAUGGUGAACAUAACAUUAUUUUAGGCAACAGAACUGUCAGCUGACAUCCAGGGUCCCAUGAUACUUGCCUCCAUCCAUUCAAAGAGAUGUUUGAGACAGAAACUAAACCAAGAUUUCUGGAUAUCAGUGUGCAAGUCUGUUCAGAGAGUAAAUUUUUCUGUGUCAAUAAACAGAAGGCAGGAUUAAUAUCUCCAUAUGCCUGCUUUUCUGACCUCAGAACUAGGAGGAUGCUAUAUUCCCGACCAUGAUUUGGGAUUGCAUUUUUUCUUUAUGAAUUAACACAAUUUACAUACAGUUAUAUUUACUAUUUUUUGGUGUACAGGUGUAUGAGUUUUGACAAAUGCUUCUGUGUAACCACUACCACAAUCAAGACAGAAUAAUUUCCAUUGUCCCCCACCAAGAAAUUCCUCUUCAUGACACUUUUGUAGUCAAACUCUCCUCACCUUUAAUGCAAACCUCUUUCUCCAUCUGCAUGGUUCUGUUUUCUCCAGAAUGGUACGUAAAUAUAAAAGAACUUAGCUGUUUGAGUCUAGUUUUUUAAAUUAACAAAAUGUUCUUGACAUUCAACCCUGUUGUUGUACAUGUCAAUACUUUGUUCCUUUUUACUUCUGGACAUUGUUUCACUGCAUGAAUGUGUCACUGUUUGUUUAUUCAUUUACUAGUUGAGGGACAUUUGAGUUAUUUCCUAUUUUUGGAGAGUACGAAUAAAGCCACUAUAAAUAGGUUUUUAUGUUAUAGGUUUUCUUGUCACCUAGAUAAAUAGGAGUGGGACAGCCAGGUCAUAUGGUAAGUGAACAUUUAACUUUAUAAGAAACUGCCAAAAUAUUUUUACCUGUAAAGAAACUGUCAAAAUAUUUCCCAUGGUGUCUCUACCAUAUUUUGUAUCCUUGCUAGUAACAUAGUAGCAUUCCAGUUGCUUCACAUUCUUACCAACACUUGGUAUCGUCAGAGCUUUUUAAUUUUUUUUCUUUUUUUUUUUUUUUUNUUUUUUUCACUUUUUCUCUGCCAUUCUUAUUACGGAGUGUGGGAUGAAAUUUUAAAACUUAAUCUUUUUAGAACCAAAAUAUUUCUGCUUUAAUAUUCAGCCCACAUUCAGUUUUCCCUCCUCUCUCUUCAUUUGGUUCUUUGUAUUAGCUCUCCCACCAGACUAAAGGUUUCUUUGUGGGUAAGGAAAAACUCUUAGUCAUCUCUGUAUACAUGAAGCUCUGUCACCCCAUCCCAAGUUCAGGGAUUUUCCAAUAACACAUGCUACUUAAAUCAAUGCUUCUAUGUGAUCAGAUUAGAUUAACACAUACAGUGACACAAUUAACGUAUCCAAAGGCUAAUCUAGUAUUGCCUAAUUUUGUCAACUGUGGAAUACCAAAAGAAUUUUAGUAAAACUAUGCACUUUCUUCCCUUUUCAUGGAUUUUUCCAUUUUCAUUUAUAUGUCUGAAAAAACAGAUUUCUGUUUUCUUGCUUUACCAAGAGGUAAACUGAAAAAUAUAUUUGGGAUUGUUAAAUAUUUGUGUAGUAAAUUUCUUAUACAAAAGACAAGAUUGUUAUUACUGGCACUUAAGUAAGAGAUUAAGAAUUAUUAAUUAAUUAAUUAACUUCACAAAUUAGAUCACAUAUAUUUCAAUGUGUUUUUUAGGUGAGACAGAAGAAAUUACAGAGGGGACCUGACCUGUACAUACUAUUUGUCAAGCGAGUUAAGGCAAAAAGAGGUUGAGAGUCACUGAUAAAGACUCAAAGAGUCUUGAAAAUGGAAAGGUUCUCAGAAGAUGCAGAGGCCAACCUCCCACUUAUUGAAAGAACCCUGGCUAUAGCAUCUGUCUUCCACCAUUGGUAGGCUCACCACUUCAUACAGCACCAAUUCACACAUCCUUACAAGCAAGAGACUCAAAACAAAACAAAACAAUAAAUAAAAGAAACAUAGGGGAAGCAACUUCUUAACUGAACUUUCAUUUUUCUGUAACAUUAUACUAUAUAAACCUUCUGUAGCACCUACAGAAAUCUAAAAAUAUUGUUUAGAAUUUUUGUGGCAGAAAAUAAUUUUGUCACUACAUCAACCAGCCACAUGUGAGUUAAGCUCAUUAACUUUUAUAUUUCAGGAUGAUGCAUAGUUUGGAGAUAUGAGUUCAGUGUCUUAAAUGACAUGAAUCUUGGAACUUCUUUAUAUUAAUAUCUACUUCUUCUGAAACUUCAGUUUUUGAAUGGAAGUAAACCAACAACUUCUAGUUGUGUAUAGAAGAAAAUUUGUAUAAGUCUGUAGAAAUCUAUACAAGAAAAUUUCUUAAGCUUAUUUCAUGAGCAGCAUGGAUUACUUAUCUUCCAGUUGGAAGGCUUCCUGGAGAUCUUAAAAGCAAGGAACUUCCUGACUGCAAACACUUCUCCUUUUAUAGAUACAAAGCCUCCUCUGUGUUGGUUUUGUAUCAACUGUCACCUUACAUCUGAUGGAAACUCAUUCCCAGAAUUCCCUUUCCUAAAUUGUUCUUCAUUCCAGUCGGCUACAAGGGAAAUUUGUGUGACCUUUGGAAGGUAGAAGUGAAACAGCAGCAUUCUGCUCUGAAGGUCAGUGUAGUCAACAAGGUGCAGCUCACUGACUUCCCAGCUCACCUUGUCCAUGUCAGCCAGCAGCCAGGCUGCCAGACUUUUGGCUCCCCCCAGAUCUCCUCUUUCGGUUUCUGAGCCAGGUGCAUGAAUGUCUUUGCAGUGAAGAGUGCCAGUCCCUUUUGGGUUGUCCAGGUUCCAGUUUGCCCUUGCUCAGCUCUACUUCAGAUCCAGUUUUUCUUUCCGGUUGCCAUCUCUGCUAACCUGUGAUGACUUUAGCUCCAUACCAGAUGCGAAAGCCACUGCAAAGCUCCCACAAUUGUGUAAGGUCUAAAACUUAAAAGUAAAUCCAUUAUUCCAUAUUACCACAGUGGUUCUGCAUCUUUAAGUGAUAGGGAUUCCAUGAAAUCUUUUCUAUUCAGAAUACGUACUUGGCUACAAAUAUUCUUUUGUGCAUGCCUUUCUUUUUAAAAAUUUAUGAUAUUGUCAAAUGAAAUAGUACUAAUAUAUUGCACCUAAGUAUAUUUUUUAUUCUACCCUGUUUUGGGGAUAGGGACUUGGAAUAUGCUCUUUCACAUAAUUCUUCUUAAAACUGGUAAGCUGAGGAAUUGAGAGUUUGCUCCAUAAGCGGAGAAUACAGAAAAACUAACAAUUAAUUUGAACUUCAGAGUAAUAAUGAGUUAAAAAUCACCUGAGUGAACUAGCUUUUUCUUCGAAUUAUAUUUUAAUGUGACACUUGGAAAGUUAUAUCACUCAUGAUGAAAUCUAAACACUAAAAUUCUGAAAACACGCUGGGCAUGGCUCACAUCUGUAAUCUCAGCAUUUGGGGAGGUGAAGCUGGGAGGAUCACUUGAGCCCAGGACCAGCUUGGACAACAAAAUGAGAUCCCCUCCUCUAACAAAAAUCGAAACCAAUUUCAGUUAAUCCAUUUUUAUCAUAAUGUAUGUACACUGAGAAUAAAUAAAUACUGCCAUACAGCACUUCAACCUCUUUACUUAAAUUCCUACUGUUUUACAUAAUUUCUGAAGAUUUUAUGGUCUUUAAAGGCAGGGAUACAUCUUCUCAUUUUUACAUCCUCCCAUACUGGCACACAGAUAAGUCCUUAUUAAACAUCAACUGAACUAAGUAAAGAGCAAAUUUCAGCUUCCUGUUUUUUACAAAAAAGAAAAGAGCAGCAGGGUAUGAGCAAAUAACCACAACCAACUACAUCCUCUGAUGCUUUUCUCACUAUUAUAUAGAAACUCCAGCAGGAAACCACAGCUUUAUCCUUUUCACCACUAUAGCAAAAUCUUAUGAAUUGCUGGCAAACAUAAAACAUCUACACUGACAUCACAUAAAUGUUUGUGACAAUUAUACUCACCACACUCAAGGGCUUUAAAACAUCUUAACAGUAUUUCUCAGGGACAAAUUCCCAAGGAAAAAUAGUCAUAUACCUUUAGCCACAUGUUUGGAGUUUAAUUAUAUGAAAGAGCAGUAAGCACUAUCGAAACUUGACUCCCCUCUGAAUGUAGCUGUUUACAAAAAGCCCAAAAAUCUGAGAAGGGUUAAAGUUCCUCGUAUGACUCAGACUUACAAACAUUUCUAACAGACCAAAGAUGUAUUAACCUCUACUCCAAAAUCACAAAAGUACUAAUUUUUUCCUUGGUAUUCAAAACAACCCAAGAAUUACACAUUUCAGGCUAUGAAAUGUAGAAACCCCUUUUCUCCAUUCUCACACAUUAUGCAUUCGGAUGUACAGCAACACACAUUUUAAAUUUGUGACUUGAGCUUUGAUAAUGCGUUUUAUCAAUGAAGGGACCUUCCACUGAAGAUCCCUUAGUUGUCCAAGAACUACAAAGACAAGAUGAUGGCAGAAGUCCAGGACUUUCAUUCAAGGGCCUUAACUUCAAUAUGAAACACAGACACGUAUACUCAUUUUACACAGAAGUCAGAGGUCUAGAACUCUGUAGCUUUCUUGCAUGCCCACAUUACCUAGCCCAUAAGCUCUCCAUGGGGUGUUUGUUAAAUGACUACAUGCGUAAAUGAAUGAAGGCAUACAUGCUUGGUGAUGAUGAAGAAGGGGAGAGGAGAAGGGCUCCUUUGGGUUCCAACCAAGGCAGAAGAGGCCUAAAAUUCAGAAAAUAAGCCCAUGUAUGAAGAAAAAAAACAAGCAAGAGUUAAAAAAAUAAGUGGUGGGGCAUCAGAGCUAGAAUUGAUAUUAGGGAUUUCUGGACCAGCCCUCUCAUUUCUAGAGAGAACCUGGGGUGCUGUGGACAAUGACAUGACUUCAUGUACCACUUUCAGGAACUGUGACAUUUGCGUAUCCAUUUCAUGAUUUUAGCUUCAAGUGCUUCUUAUCUAAACCAUUUUUUUAACUCAAUAUUUUUCAUUAAAUUGACAUUAACUGGUACACUGGUUGAAAACAUUAGCCUAGUGCUAAAAAAUAAUAUCUGUGAAAUUACAGGUUUGAUGGACUGGGUAUAUUAUUUUUCAUAGCAUAUAUUUUUUAAGAUAUACUUUGAAAAGUGUUCCGACCAUAUUUCUACCUUUAAAUAAAUUCAUAAGUAUUAAAAUAAAAAGCAAAUGUGUAUACUACCUAAGACCCUCUCACAGGUCACUGUUGGAAAUCUGCACUUUGAGAAGCAGUGCGCUCUGAUGUGCUGCCUCCUGGAACAAACAGUUUGAAUUCUGAACUGACACAAGGUGGGAAAGACAUUCCAAAAUGAUUAAAAGGGUCCAGUAAUAAGACUAAUGCCUCUAGGUGACUUCAGUCAUUAUUUUUUUACUAAAAAAAAAAAACAAAAAACAAUUACUUACUAAGGAACUAAACAAAAAAAAUAAGGCAGAAAUCAUGGCUUUUUUUUUUUUUUUUCAGUUAGUGGAUUUGCACCUUCCAAAUGGACAGAUAGGGAUAUUCAUCCUCCUACCAAGAGUCAUUAAUUCAUUAGAACAUAGUUUUAAGAAGAUUUGUCUCAAAUGGGCCUCCUGUGCAUGGAUUACCUUUUUUUUUUUUUCAGUAUUCCAUUUGCAAUGAGAACACUUAGCUGUAAGCUAUAAUGAGGAAUUGCUUAACUUUCAUAAGUAAAUGAAUGUCUAUGACUAAAAUAUCAAUCACGGAAACACUAGUUCUAUAAAUAGUUUGUAGGUCCAAAGUCCAUAGGCAGUUAAACAAAGACACAUGUUUGUUUUUUCUUGUUUUUCUGUGUGUGUGUGAGUGUAUGUAUGUCUGUGGGUGUGCACGCACAUGUGACAUAUGAAACCCAUUUGAUUUUUCUUUUGAGAAACAAAGAAAUGUUGUUUGCUGAAUAUAUGUGUUAUCUGGUAUUUUGAUAAAAAGUUAUGUUUGCCAAUUUUAUCACCUAUGCAAUGAUCUAUAAAGUUUUAACCUAAAAUACCUGUCCUUGAACUCACCCUGUUUUUUUUCCUAAACGUCUUAUCGCUGAUUUAGAAACGCUCACAUUUGUUUUUUAAGCAACACAAGAUGAAAUCCAAGAUAGAAGACAGCAGUCCAUAAAAUCGCACUGAGUCCCUGCGUUUUGACCCCCUGUGAUUUGCAUCACCAACGGAAUCCUGCAGGGCAGCACAGUGGUGAAGCUCACGGCCAUUGAAGUUGGACAACUGAAUUCACACAGCCCCAUUACCAUCUGUGGGACUUUGGGCAAGUUCUGUUAUCUAUUUCCUCAUCUCCAGAAUGCGGAAUUAUUAAUGUGCUCUUUUUUAAUAGGACAAACCUCAGAGAUUUCUUUAAAAGAGAAGUGGUUUUAGCAAGAUGCCACUGGCAGAGAAGCCUGAAGAAUAAAUUUUUGAAGUAUUUAAAUAUAUCUGUAGUCUAGCCUUCACCAUUUCCUUUGGAAAGUAGAUGGAUACAUAUGGAGACAUGUUUUAGGUACUCUUAUGCUCCAGAAUCAAGAUGGCAAAAUGCCUCAAGUGGUUUUUUGUUUUUUUUCUUGUUCCUUCUUUAAUGAAUUUUGAACCCUCUUCCCACAUGUGUUUACUUGGUCUUUCAUUCUUUUCCACUCAUCGUUAAAUCUACAACAGAGGUUCCAUCUCUUUUCUUUCAUUGCCCCUACACCAGCAGCCUCUGGGCUCCGAGGCAAAGAAGGAGACUCCCAGCCAGGGCAAAUACACAGAGAUAGAAUCACUUGCCAGGCAUUCCAGAGGCAUAAAUUACCACUUAAACUUCCAAGGUUGAAGCCCUGGAGAGGGAGACCAAGGGAGAGUGGUAGAGUACCUCCUUAGGAUAAAAUAGCAAGAAGGCAUGGGGUAUUUCACAGAGCAGCUAUGUAAACAGCUGAGUAUCUACAGUAUCAUUGGAAUGGGUACAUUCCCCAAUAGUGAUCUAACUCAAGAUCACCCCCCAAAGGUGGAAGGGCUUCCUGAGAGUCUAAGCAAUUAACUAAAACAGUGGCCCUUAAACAGUCUUAAAAUACAACUGGUGAGCAAAGAUAAAGUACCAAUGACAGCAAAUUAUUUAUUUAAAGCAUAAUUUAGAGGAGUUUUCCCUAAUGAAUUAUACUAAACUCAAAAAUCAAGUUAUUUCUAUCAUAAUGUCACUCUCACUUAUCUCACUGGCACAUGUGGAUGUUUUUUUUUGAAUAGAAAAAAAUAGAAAUGAAGUUACACUGAGGUUCUGGUAUACUCAUGAGAAAGAAAUUUCCUGUAGUACACAGACCAGCAGAAACUUAGAAGAAUUCUACAUCUUAUAUCUGUUCCAUUUUUGUCACUUCUGCUACCCUCUGCUUCUUAGUUGUUUUUAGCAGAAUUAAGUUGGAAAUGCAUGUGUCUGUGAUUUUAUUUUCUAUAUCAAGGAAGUGGAGUAUGGGAAAGAUGUAUAGUUUUCAAGCUAGCCUGGCGGGGAGGAAAGGAACCCAGGUGUGGCAAGCAGGUGGUGAAGCUGUGAAGAGGAACGGAAAUGAAGCUGAACUGCUUGGCAUACGGGAAGGAAGAAAGAGGUCCAGGGCUGCUUGGUUAGGACAGGGGAGGUACCCAGGUUGUUAGGCUACCGGGGGAAUUCUCUGAGAUCGUGACCAGGAAAAGAGCCCAUUCUAAUUUUGUUGAACUAUAUUUAUUACUGAGCUUAUUCCCGUCAUCUGGGAAUUAGUUGAGAGUUCAGACUAUGUUUUAUUCAAUUUCGAGUCCCUAGCACACAGAACAGGGUUUAAUAUAUAUGUCAAGUGCUCGAUACAGAUUUAUUAAAUGAUCCAAAGAAUUCACCUUCUCUAAACCAGGACCUUCUGCCAACCCCAUUUCACAUCCUAUCUCUCACCUCCUAAAUAGAUUCCUAUUUCCAGUUGGAAGAAAGCUUUGAUUCAAUUUGCAAAGUAGAAGGAACUGACAUACCUUCAAUCCAGUCCAGCUCAGGUUAUUAAUUUUUUCCCUCCUUGGAGACUCACACUUCACCACUCAAAAGCCACAAACCCCAGAGGGAGGAUCUCUUAAAAACCCAUCAUUAUAGUUCUAAACAUCAAAAUAGCCACCAGGGGAAUAGCAGAACAGUUUCUUCAUAAAAGAGCCUAAACAUUUCAGUGAACUAAAUUUGUGUUCUAAAUGGCACUUUCAUAACUAUCUCUCAAGACUUUUACGCCUAUGGUCUUUUAUAUAUUAUCAAUUCAUUUCAGGUGACAGGACACCAGAUACUUAAACACGGCUACCAUUCUAUAAGGAAAUGCCACUCUCUCCAAAGAAAGCGUGGAGUCGAUCUGCCACUGUGCCCUCUGUUAGUUUCAAUUGGUACUAUUCUUGGCACUGUCUUCUCGGAGUGAAGCUGCUGAAGCACCGACACUUUAGGAUUAAUAAUUAGAUGAGAGGAUGUUUUUAGAAGUAAAGUAGGAGGCACAAAGUGGGGGUGGUAUGUAGCGAAGUGUGGUGAGGAAGGAAAGUGGCAGCAGAAGUUAAGAAGACAUGAGGGAUUUCAGAGUGCUACGAAGACAGCUUUCCCUACCGAAGAGAUCUGCCUAAGUUUCCCGUCGUGUUGCCUCAAAAGGGCAUUUGUCUUUAUUUGCAACAUGAAUAAAUCAACCCUGAUGUGGUCACCUUAUUUUUUAGCCGUAUUAACAGAGCAGUUCUACACAAUCAAGUGGCCAGACUGCAGUGAUCUGCCUAGCCUCCGAGAGAGGUUGCAAACACAGCUUACUGCAAUCAUUAACUGAGCAUUUCUAGACUAUGAAGGAACAGAAGAUGGGAUAUGAGUUGAUACUACUCCUGAAAGUUUAUCUCAACUGCUGGGACUGCUAAAUAAAAUGCAGCAUCGCUUGAAAGAUUGAGAUAUACUCUGAGCUUUCGGGAAGCUAUGCAAGUUUGGUCUAUAUGUAAAAAGUUAUACAUAAGAUAAAGAUAUGGUGCAUUUAAAAAUACAUAAAACAAUCCAAUGUGAGAUCUCAGUCAUUGAUCUUUAAGGUAAAGAAAAAAUAAAUUACCUUAUUGUUAAAACUGCUAAUGUCUUUUAUUUGCCACUGGUGGUACAGUAAAAAGCAAGCAAGUACACAGAUGAAAACCUCUGCUAUUCUUUAACAGACCAGGUUAACUCAAUUUUUAUUCAUUAAGCUUUCACGGAGUCUACAUAUUUUGAUGUUUGCAAUUUUUUAGACCCUCUCUAUGGUUCAUGGGAGUUAACUAUAUUUGGUACCAUUACCUUUCUGCAUUGUAGACACAUCAAUUUCAUAAGUGUGGUCAUAGCAUUUUGGAGCUCAAUGGUAUUUAGAGAACACCUAAGUAGUCCAGACUUUACAGAC